AUGGGACGCUCUAAUUCUGACAUGGUGUGAAGAGCCUAUUGAGCUAGCUGGUAGUCCUCCGGCCCCUGAAUGCGGCUAAUCCUAACUGCGGAGCACAUGCUCACGAACCAGUGGGUGGUGUGUCGUAACGGGCAACUCUGCAGCGGAACCGACUACUUUGGGUGUCCGUGUUUCCUUUUAUUCUUAUAUUGGCUGCUUAUGGUGACAAUCAAAGAGUUGUUACCAUAUAGCUAUUGGAUUGGCCAUCCGGUG
rnacentral:other from 2 species